CCAAGGAAACUUUUGUUUGACUAGUAGGGACAUUUUAAGGGAUUUUUAUCAACUAGUACCCACUUUAAAGAAAAAAGGACUUGCCUUUUUGCGUUUUGCAAACUUAUUAUUGUUGAACUACUUUGAACACUCUCAUGACUUUGCUUCGACUGUUUCUGCUAAAAUGUAUACUGAAUGGUAAAAGCCUUGGAUUUCCAAGCGUAAUAAGAAGAUUUUUAUUCUUUUAUCCAAAGGCAUGCCAUUUUAAAACUCUCAUGUAAUGUGGACAAAGAGAAUAAUGUAUGAAGUGUUAUUUUGCAUUUCCAGAAAAAUAAUAUUUAACAAUGUAUUCCUUGGUGCUUUAUUUUCCUUUAUGUAGAGUUCCAGAAAUUGGGCAGGAGGUCACCAAGUGAAUACUCCUUGGAAAUUGAGGACUGUUGCAUGUUUGUAAAUGUUUUAAGCUGGCAUCCUCUAAAGCUAACCAUAUGCUGGCUAGUACUCCUCAUUUUGCUAACCAUCAGUUACUCAUCCAAAGAACCUGAUGUGGAAGGUAUAGUGUGGUUUAACCUUUGUCCUUUGUUCUGUUUGUAACUUAGUUUUGUACUCUAUUGAUAAACAUAUUUUCCCAGAACUUCUCUAAACACAUUUAGAAUUGGAGGGAGAAGACAUAGAAUCUUAUGAAAACAUGAUAAACUGGUCUAAUUUCCAAUAGCCUCAAGACACUCUGUUAGUCACUAAAAAUAACUUCUCUAAACACAUUCUGUUACUGAGUUUCCCUUUAUUUAUUUUUUAGAAGUAAGAAGAUUUUAUUAAUAAGUGCAAUGGUGCAACCCCCAUACACAAGUAGCAUACAUGAGAGACACCUAGCUAGAGUACUCAUUACUUGGGGUGGUGUUAUCAUUUCAUUCAAUCAAGAGGAAUCACUUGCUUCAAAUUUGAGCAUACUUGGAAGAACCGUUUGGUGCAGUUUAUGCAUGGAUUUUGGUGCAGUUUAUGGAAUGCAGAGGGCAUUUAGUGAAGGCGACAUGCUAAAGAGAUGAGUGACGAGGCACAUGAAAUUGAAGCUAAAGAAAGUCAUGCUCAACGUUCAGUUCCCCAAUUGAAUGAGGGAAUCCUUUCAUCUUUGUCAAGGAGAUCAGUUGCUGCACACCCUUGGCAUGAUCUCGGGAUUGGACAUGGAGCAUCUCAUAUUUUCAACUGUGUAUGUUUUCAAACUUGGCUUUACAAUAUGAAGUGGUUUGUUAGUGAAGGGAAUAGACAUGUUCUGAGGUUGAAUUUUGUUUGCCUUAUUUUUUUCUGUAUUUCCUGUAUUGAUUGUAGGGCAUCCAAUAAUGCAACCAAAAUCU